GCUGGAAUGAAGCCCCCUGAGGCAGCAAUCAGCAGUCGCUGCGUACAGCGACCCACAGAUCAAACGUCAGUGGCCUGAGGCUCUUUGAGGCCCUCAGGUUGAGAUAUGACCGGUCUUGCUCUGCACCGAGCAAGAGGACAACGUUCCGUAGGUGAACCUGCGGAAGGAUCAUUAUCGAGAUUUUGGGCCCUAACCGGGCCCAAGCCUCCACCCUUGUAGAAACACUCAGUUGCUUUGGCAGGAAGGCACUGCACCCCCAGGGGUUCCCUGUGGGUGGCCACCGCCUGUCAUUCGCUCCCAAAUCACCCGUUUCAACUUAAGUGUCAGCAGUGAACUAGAAAUUUAUUUUAAAAAACUUUCAACAACGGAUCUCUUGGUUCUGGCAUCGAUGAAGAACGCAGCGAAAUGCGAUAAGUAAUGUGAAUUGCAGAAUUCAGUGAAUCAUCAAAUCUUUGAACGCACAUUGCACCCUCUGGUAUUCCGGGGGGUAUGCCUGUUCGAGCGUCAUUGUACCUCUCAAGCUUAGCUUGGUCUUGGGCCUCCAUUCUAGGGAGCCCCAAAGCUAGUGGCGGGGUCACCGAAGCUCAGGCGUAGUAAAUCACCCGCCUUGGAGUCUUCCGUGGGCCUGCCAGGAACCUAUUCACCAAUGAUUGACCUCGGAUCAGGUAGGGAUACCCGCUGAACUUAAGCAUAUCA
rnacentral:rRNA from 1 species